AAGAUUUAGCUCAGUGGUAGAGUAUUUGCCUAGCAUGCAUGAGGCUGUGGGAUCAAUCCCCAGUAUCAUA
rnacentral:tRNA from 1 species